AACGAACGCUGGCGGCAGGCCUAACACAUGCAAGUCGAGCGCCCCGCAAGGGGAGCGGCGGACGGGUGAGUAACGCGUGGGAACGUGCCCCUUUCUACGGAAUAGCCUCGGGAAACUGGGAGUAAUACCGUAUAGGCCCUACGGGGGAAAGAUUUAUCGGGAAGGGAUCGGCCCGCGUUGGAUUAGGUAGUUGGUGGGGUAAUGGCCUACCAAGCCGACGAUCCAUAGCUGGUUUGAGAGGAUGAUCAGCCACACUGGGACUGAGACACGGCCCAGACUCCUACGGGAGGCAGCAGUGGGGAAUCUUAGACAAUGGGCGCAAGCCUGAUCUAGCCAUGCCGCGUGAGCGAUGAAGGCCUUAGGGUUGUAAAGCUCUUUCGUGGGGGAAGAUAAUGACUGUACCCCAAGAAGAAGCCCCGGCUAACUCCGUGCCAGCAGCCGCGGUAAU
rnacentral:rRNA from 1 species